GAAAAAAAGAUUAAGUAUCAUUAAUAAGUCAUUGAUACUACACUAUAUUCCAAAUGUCAAUAGUCUCAGUUAUUAUGAAACGCUGACCUUAAACAUGUUACAUAACUUAAUUUGCGAAGGAUACUCUGAAAAACAAAACAUCAUUGCUUAGAAAAUUAUAUCGAAUUUGUAACUAAGAUUUUUGAUACAUGUACAUAUGUGUUCUAUAUGCACUGACGCCU
rnacentral:lncRNA from 1 species